rnacentral:rRNA from 1 species
GAUGAACGCUGGCGGCGUGCCUAAUACAUGCAAGUCGAGCGAACGGACGAGAAGCUUGCUUCUCUGAUGUUAGCGGCGGACGGGUGAGUAACACGUGGAUAACCUACCUAUAAGACUGGGAUAACUUCGGGAAACCGGAGCUAAUACCGGAUAAUAUUUUGAACCGCAUGGUUCAAAAGUGAAAGACGGUCUUGCUGUCACUUAUAGAUGGAUCCGCGCUGCAUUAGCUAGUUGGUAAGGUAACGGCUUACCAAGGCAACGAUGCAUAGCCGACCUGAGAGGGUGAUCGGCCACACUGGAACUGAGACACGGUCCAGACUCCUACGGGAGGCAGCAGUAGGGAAUCUUCCGCAAUGGGCGAAAGCCUGACGGAGCAACGCCGCGUGAGUGAUGAAGGUCUUCGGAUCGUAAAACUCUGUUAUUAGGGAAGAACAUAUGUGUAAGUAACUGUGCACAUCUUGACGGUACCUAAUCAGAAAGCCACGGCUAACUACGUGCCAGCAGCCGCGGUAAUACGUAGGUGGCAAGCGUUAUCCGGAAUUAUUGGGCGUAAAGCGCGCGUAGGCGGUUUUUUAAGUCUGAUGUGAAAGCCACGGCUCAACCGUGGAGGGUCAUUGGAAACUGGAAAACUUGAGUGCAGAAGAGGAAAGUGGAAUUCCAUGUGUAGCGGUGAAAUGCGCAGAGAUAUGGAGGAACACCAGUGGCGAAGGCGACUUUCUGGUCUGUAACUGACGCUGAUGUGCGAAAGCGUGGGGAUCAAACAGGAUUAGAUACCCUGGUAGUCCACGCCGUAAACGAUGAGUGCUAAGUGUUAGGGGGUUUCCGCCCCUUAGUGCUGCAGCUAACGCAUUAAGCACUCCGCCUGGGGAGUACGACCGCAAGGUUGAAACUCAAAGGAAUUGACGGGGACCCGCACAAGCGGUGGGGCAUGUGGUUUAAUUCGAAGCAACGCGAAGAACCUUACCAAAUCUUGACAUCCUUUGACAACUCUAGAGAUAGAGCCUUCCCCUUCGGGGGACAAAGUGACAGGUGGUGCAUGGUUGUCGUCAGCUCGUGUCGUGAGAUGUUGGGUUAAGUCCCGCAACGAGCGCAACCCUUAAGCUUAGUUGCCAUCAUUAAGUUGGGCACUCUAAGUUGACUGCCGGUGACAAACCGGAGGAAGGUGGGGAUGACGUCAAAUCAUCAUGCCCCUUAUGAUUUGGGCUACACACGUGCUACAAUGGACAAUACAAAGGGCAGCGAAACCGCGAGGUCAAGCAAAUCCCAUAAAGUUGUUCUCAGUUCGGAUUGUAGUCUGCAACUCGACUACAUGAAGCUGGAAUCGCUAGUAAUCGUAGAUCAGCAUGCUACGGUGAAUACGUUCCCGGGUCU